CCUACGGGUGGCUGCAGUGGGGAAUAUUGCACAAUGGGCGCAAGCCUGAUGCAGCCAUGCCGCGUGUGUGAAGAAGGCCUUCGGGUUGUAAAGCACUUUCAGCGGGGAGGAAGGCGGUGAGGUUAAUAACCUCAUCGAUUGACGUUACCCGCAGAAGAAGCACCGGCUAACUCCGUGCCAGCAGCCGCGGUAAUACGGAGGGUGCAAGCGUUAAUCGGAAUUACUGGGCGUAAAGCGCACGCAGGCGGUCUGUCAAGUCGGAUGUGAAAUCCCCGGGCUCAACCUGGGAACUGCAUUCGAAACUGGCAGGCUAGAGUCUUGUAGAGGGGGGUAGAAUUCCAGGUGUAGCGGUGAAAUGCGUAGAGAUCUGGAGGAAUACCGGUGGCGAAGGCGGCCCCCUGGACAAAGACCGACGCUCAGGUGCGAAAGCGUGGGGAGCAAACAGGAUUAGAUACCCGAGUAGUC
rnacentral:rRNA from 1 species